rnacentral:rRNA from 1 species
UACGGAGGGUGCAAGCGUUAUCCGGAUUUACUGGGUUUAAAGGGUGCGCAGGCGGCAAAGUAAGUCAGUGGUGAAAGCCCGGAGCUCAACUCCGGAACUGCCAUUGAUACUGCUUAGCUUGAGUACGGUUGAAGUGGGCGGAAUGUGACAUGUAGCGGUGAAAUGCUUAGAUAUGUCACAGAACACCAAUUGCGAAGGCAGCUCGCUAAACCGUCACUGACGCUGAGGCACGAAAGCGUGGGUAGCGAACAGG